rnacentral:rRNA from 1 species
AUUGAACGCUGGCGGAAUGCUUUACACAUGCAAGUCGAGCGGCAGCGCGGUCUUCGGACUGGCGGCGAGCGGCGAACGGGUGAGUAAUACAUCGGAACAUGCCCAGUCGUGGGGGAUAACACUUCGAAAGAAGUGCUAAUACCGCAUACGUCCUGAGGGAGAAAGCGGGGGAUCGCAAGACCUCGCGCGAUUGGAGUGGCCGAUGUCAGAUUAGCUAGUUGGUGGGGUAAAGGCCUACCAAGGCAACGAUCUGUAGCUGGGCUGAGAGGAUGAUCAGCCACACUGGGAUCGAGACACGGCCCAGACUCCUACGGGAGGCAGCAGUGGGGAAUUUUGGACAAUGGGGGCAACCCUGAUCCAGCCAUUCCGCGUGAGUGAAGAAGGCCUUCGGGUUGUAAAGCUCUUUCGGCAGGAACGAAACGGCGAGCUCUAACAUAGCUCGCUAAUGACGGUACCUGAAGAAGAAGCACCGGCUAACUACGUGCCAGCCGCCGCAGUAAUAC